ACGGAAGGCAGCAGUGGGGAAUAUUGCACAAUGGGGGAAACCCUGAUGCAGCGACGCCGCGUGAGUGAAGAAGUUAUUCGUAAUGUAAAGCUCUAUCAGCAGGGAAGAAAAUGACGGUACCUGGCUAAGAAGCCCCGGCUAACUACGUGCCAGCAGCCGCGGUAAUACGUAGGGGGCAAGCGUUAUCCGGAUUUACUGGGUGUAAAGGGAGCGUAGACGGUCUGGCAAGUCUGAUGUGAAAGGCAGGGGCUCAACUCCUGGACUGCAUUGGAAACUGUCAGUCUUGAGUGUCGGAGAGGUAAGCGGAAUUCCUAGUGUAGCGGUGAAAUGCGUAGAUAUUAGGAGGAACACCAGUGGCGAAGGCGGCUUACUGGACGAUAACUGACGUUGAGGCUCGAAAGCGUGGGGAGCAAACAGGAUUAGAUACCCUGGUA
rnacentral:rRNA from 1 species